GUCCUCCUAAUGCUUACCGCAGACAGUACACCCAGAGUGCUGGCUGUAUAGAAACAGGAGGAACAUGAAGCUCUCCUAGCACAUCUGCUCUCCCAGCUGUUGUCUGGUGGAGCAAAAUUGUUGGGUGAGACAUAC